rnacentral:lncRNA from 1 species
GUUGGUUCACUGUAGCAGAGGCGGUGCAAGCAAAAGGCUAGGGUUUCUUUUGAUCUUUUGGGCUCUUUUUUCUUUCACUUUGGUGGUCCGUUUGCGCUUGUAUUUAGUUAUCUUUGGGCUUUGGUUUGGGUCCACUUUUGCUUUGUGUUAAUCUUGUAAUUGGGCCUCUUGUGGGUACUUUGUUGACUUUUGCCUUGAAAUACUAUUUUCAGUUUACCAAAAAAAGAAAAAAA